rnacentral:lncRNA from 1 species
CGCUCCACGGUCUCGUGGACUUUCUUCAGGAAGUCUCGCUCCCGGCAGCGCUUGGAGUCACGGAUGGUCGUGGCGUACGUGGACUCUGUGAUGAGCAGGUUGGGGCGGCACUUGUCAAUCCAGGCAGCUCUGGAACACGGGGGUGGGGGUGUGAGCCACGAUGCACUGUCCCCACGGUUGCAGGGCUGGGUGUGACAAGCUGGACCCCAGUACCACGCCCAGCCGCCUUCCUAGGUCACUCUGGCUGGAAAGAGCCAGCUGGUAAAAUGCUGUGGGCAGCACACUUGGGAAGAGAGAGGAGAGACAGAGGCACCCACCCAGACACUUCGGAAGAGCGAGACAGAGGCACCCACCCAGAGACUUGGGAAGAGAGAGAAGGAGGGACAGAGGCCCCUGCCUGGACCCUGUGCCUUCGCGCAUUUGGGCCCAGAACGAAGGGGGCUCUCCAGGCCGCACAGGACAUGGGAGACACUGCCAGGCUGGCCACUCAAGGGCUGGCACCCUGACACCUGCAAGGGUCCUGAGCUCCAGGGGGGCCCACGGGACAAAAAGACACCUCAGCCUACUUACCCUAAGUGUCGGUCUGGGGUCAUGUUAUAAUCACCCUGGUGAACGAUCAAGGAUGCCAUGAGGAGGGUGCCUCCCACCCCAGCAGCCCCUCCCAAGCCUCAAGCCCUUCCACUGACCGUGUAGACCACAGACUCUGAGCCCACUUUAAUCUGGAACAUGGCUGCCCCCAGCACGUGGCCUGCAUAGUAGGCCUUGAUCUCCAGCUCAUCAUCUACCUGGACCGUCUGGUGGAGGUGGACAGCCACCACCUUCUUCAUGCAGUCUUUGAUCAUCUGGGAGGUGAAGAAGUUGGCCUCGCCCUUCUUGUCUACGGCGAUCUUGCGGUAGUCCUCCAGCAAGAUGGGGCAGAUGGCCUGGGUGGGGUGAGUCAUGUAGAUGGGCCCGUCGUAGCCCACCAUCUCGCUGAAGUAGGGGAGUGCCCCGCAGUGGUCCAGGUGGAAGUGGCUAGGGGGACGCAGCACAGGUCAGCCUGGGCCCACCCUGCCCCAGCCUUCACCCCCGCUCUGGGCUUGUGGGUCACUGGCCCCUUCAUUCGCCUGCUGUGCGCC